AUUGAACGCUGGCGGCAGGCCUAACACAUGCAAGUCGAGCGCGAAAGGCUUUCGGGCUGAGUAGAGCGGCGGACGGGUGAGUAACGCGUAGGAAUCUACCUGGUAGUGGGGGACAACUUGGGGAAACUCAAGCUAAUACCGCAUACGCCCUAUGGGGGAAAGUGGGGGACCUUCGGGCCUCACGCUAUCGGAUGAGCCUGCGUAGGAUUAGCUUGUUGGUGAGGUAAAGGCUCACCAAGGCGACGAUCCUUAGCUGGUCUGAGAGGAUGAUCAGCCACACUGGAACUGAGACACGGUCCAGACUCCUACGGGAGGCAGCAGUGGGGAAUAUUGCGCAAUGGGGGCAACCCUGACGCAGCCAUGCCGCGUGUGUGAAGAAGGCCUUCGGGUUGUAAAGCACUUUCAAUUGGGAAGAAAAGUUCAUCGUUAAUAGCGGUGAGCCCUGACAUUACCUUUAGAAGAAGCACCGGCUAACUCCGUGCCAGCAGCCGCGGUAAUACGGAGGGUGCGAGCGUUAAUCGGAAUUACUGGGCGUAAAGCGCGCGUAGGCGGUUUGUUAAGUCAGCUGUGAAAGCCCCGGGCUCAACCUGGGAACUGCAGUUGAUACUGGCCGACUAGAGUACGAGAGAGGGAGGUAGAAUUCCAUGUGUAGCGGCGAAAUGCGUAGAUAUAUGGAGGAAUACCAGUGGCGAAGGCGGCCUCCUGGCUCGAUACUGACGCUGAGGUGCGAAAGCGUGGGGAUCAAACAGGAUUAGAUACCCUGGUAGUCCACGCCGUAAACGAUGUCUACUAGCCGUUGGGAGACUUGAUUUCUUAGUGGCGCAGCUAACGCAAUAAGUAGACCGCCUGGGGAGUACGGCCGCAAGGUUAAAACUCAAAUGAAUUGACGGGGGCCCGCACAAGCGGUGGAGCAUGUGGUUUAAUUCGAUGCAACGCGAAGAACCUUACCAGGUCUUGACAUCCAGAGAACUUUCCAGAGAUGGAU
rnacentral:rRNA from 1 species